CUCGUAGGCGGUUUGUUGCGUCGGCCGUGAAAACUUCACGCUUAACGUGGAGCUUGCGGUCGAUACGGGCAGACUUGAGUUCGGUAGGGGAGACUGGAAUUCCUGGUGUAGCGGUGAAAUGCGCAGAUAUCAGGAGGAACACCGGUGGCGAAGGCGGGUCUCUGGGCCGAUACUGACGCUGAGGAGCGAAAGCGUGGGGAGCGAACA
rnacentral:rRNA from 1 species